AGUCUUUGUUAAUAUAGGUGCACAGGCCCCCUCCUCUACUUUUACCAGCGGUAGCUGCAUCUCUUUUCACUUAGAAAGUCGUCAUCGCCUCCAGCUGUAUGGCCGCAUCUGGGAUAUUUUCCUGGAGCCAUGUUUCUGUGAAAGCAAACACACAGCAGCUUUUCCACUUUUGUAGGGAGAGAAAGGGGGAGAGUGUGAGGUCAAAUGUGGAGAAGAAGUCAAUGAAUUCAGCAGUAAUGUCACAGCUUCUCUUUCCUGGACAAAAUGUAUCUGAACAGGCAGUGCCAGGUGAAUCCACUACUGUAAUCAACCUCCUAUAAAGCUGUUGGAUUCCCUCCUGCUUGCUGCCAGAUUGUUUCAUCCGUCUACAUGGUUGUGUGUGUUCUGGCUCCUCUGUGUUUUUGACUUGUGUCCAGUUGAUAAGCUUGCAUAGCUAAUAUCCCUUGCAGUCCCUUGUGUUUGCUACUUCCCUGCCUGCCUGUGGACCUGCCUGCUGUUUGCCUGUUCUCCUGUGUUCCUCUCCGUUUGAGUUUGAGCCACGUUUGGAUCCUGGGACAAUGCACCACCCCUCCCCCUUGCACUUGUUUGCACUUUUGAACAUUAAAAGACUUG